GAUGAACGCUGGCGGCGUGCUUAACACAUGCAAGUCGAACGAAGCACCUUGAUUUGAUUCUUCGGAUGAAGAUCUUGGUGACUGAGUGGCGGACGGGUGAGUAACGCGUGGGUAACCUGUCUCAUACAGGGGGAUAACAGUUAGAAAGGACUGCUAAUACCGCAUAAGACCACAGCACCGCAUGGUGCAGGGGUAAAAACUCCGGGGGUAUGGGAUGGACUCGCGUCUGAUUAGGUAGUUGGUAGGGUAACGGCAUACCAAGCAGAGGAUCAGUGGCCGAGCUGAGAGGGUGACCCGCCACGUUGGGGCUGAGGCACGGACCAAACUCGGACGGGAGGGUGGAGAGGGUAAUAUUGCAGAAGGGGGGAAAACCUGAUGCAGCGGCGCCGCGUGAGCGAUGAAGUAUUUCGGUAUGUAAAGCUCUAUCAGCAGGGAAGAAAAUGACGGUACCUGACUAAGAAGCACCGGCUAACUACGUG
rnacentral:rRNA from 1 species